CCUACGGGAGGCAGCAGUGAGGAAUAUUGGUCAAUGGGCGUAAGCCUUAACCAGCCAAGUCGCGUGAGGGAUGAAGGUUCUAUGGAUCGUAAACCUCUUUUAUCAGGGAAUAAAGUGCGGGACGUGUCCCGUUUUUUAUGUACCUUAUGAAUAAGGAUCGGCUAACUCCGUGCCAGCAGCCGCGGUAAUAAGGAGGAUACGAGCGUUAUCCUGAUUUAUUGGGUUUAAAGGGUGCGUAGGAGGCCUUUUAAGUCAGCGGUGAAAGUCUGGGGCUCAACCAUAGAAUUGCCGUUGAAACUGGGAGGCGUGAGUAGGUGUGAGGCAGGCGGAAGGCGUGGUGUAGCGGUGAA
rnacentral:rRNA from 1 species